GAUGAACGCUGGCGGCGUGCUUAACACAUGCAAGUCGAACGAAGCACUUUAGUUGAUUUCCUUCGGGAAUGAUUAUUUUGUGACUGAGUGGCGGACGGGUGAGUAACGCGGGGGUAACCUGCCUUGUACAGGGUGACAACAGUUGGACACGGCUGCUAAUACCGCAUAAGCGCACAGCAUCGCAUGUAGCAGUGAGAAAAACACCGGUGGUAUAAGAUGGACCCGCGUUGGAUUAGCUAGUUGGUGAGGUAACGGCCCACCAAGGCGACGAUCCAUAGCCGAUCUGAGAGGAUGACCGGCCACAUUGGAACUGAGACACGGCCCAAACUCCUACGGGAGGCAGCAGUGGGGAAUAUUGCACAAUGGGCGAAAGCCUGAUGCAGCGACGCCGCGUGAACGAAGAAGUAUUUCGGUAUGUAAAGUUCUAUCAGAAGGGAAGAUAAUGACGGUACCUGACUAAAAAGCACCGGCUAAAUACGUG
rnacentral:rRNA from 1 species